rnacentral:lncRNA from 1 species
UCAUGAGUAUUGUAUAUAGGCUAACUUUCCUUGCUCACAUUUCAUCUUAAUUUUUGUAUAGGGGAGGAGGACUUUGUGUUUCCAAUCUUUCAGUACCAAUUUAGCCUUUCUCUUACUGUAAAAGAAAAAACUCAAUGAGCUUUUUUAUAUGCCAUUCUGUAGUGUUUUGGAUUUGUUGAUGCAAAUACAAAUUUAAUUGUGGAAUAGACGGUGUGAAUGAAAUCUUUCGUUGAGUUUAUGAAAAGCUUUUAGUCUUUCUUCUUAAGGUUGCAGCUUGCUUGAUUAAACCAGUAGUACUACUGAAAUUUAACUACUGGAAAAAUUCCCUAAUCAAGGAUGAUACAUGGAAUAUUGUAGUAUUACUGAUUAAUCGUGUCUUUUUUUGUUAAAUUUUAUCAUUGGUUUCUGAUUUUUUGUUACACUUCUGAGUAGCAGUCUUUCCUAAUAUAUGUUUAAUUUAUUGUACUUGGUAAAUUUAGAGGCUCUAACGCAUAAGGGGUCUUCACUUCUUAAUCAUGCAGGAGCUUGAGCCCAUAAACUGGGAAUAUUCCAGGAAAGGAAUUGGUUCUCGCUUAGUAGACAUGAACAAAGAAGCCUUUGAAAAUAUGUGGAACGACAGGUUUCUUUUUGCAUUCUCUUCGGUGAUAGCAUCCAACAUUAUAAGAGUUCAAUCAAGAUAUUGACCAAAAAUUUUUUUAGCACAUUCUAGUGAAGACAAGCACGGGAUUUCUUGCUUCUAAUCUUUGUUUCCUUUGUCCUUUUAUGGAAAAUAAUCAAAUCAUUGUUGCUAAAAGAAAAUGUUUUAACUCAUGUAGCAU